rnacentral:lncRNA from 1 species
AGAAGAUCCUUGUCCUUUCUUGAGCAUGUGGGAUUCUCCUGAGAGGUAUCCAGGGUCCGGGCUCUACUGGAAAUCAUUCCUUCAACUCUUUAGGGACUGAGGAUGUGGAAAAAAUUGGAAGGCACACUUUCACUCUUCAGCUGGAAAAUCUAACGGUCCUAGGUGGAAAUUCUUCUAAGAUUACCUCAUUGCUUAAGGCCAUGAAAUUGAGGUAUUGCUGAGGAGGAAGAGAUGAGCUAUAUCAAGUUUUACAUGCUCAUUAAAAACACAAGAAAGAGGGAAGUUGUAAUAAAAUGGAAAGAUAGCUCAUACUCAGCCAAUAAGCAUUUAUGUAGCACUUACUAUAUGUUAAGUAUUGUGAUAAAUGCUAAGGAUUCAAAGUCAGAAAAAUAUAAUCCUGGCUUCAAACUGUUCACAAUUUAAUGAGAGACAUCAUAUACACAACAUAUAUGUACAGAAUGCAUAAAGAGUAGAUGGAAGGCAAUCUCAAGGAAGAUACUAAUAGUAGAAUCAUGGGAGGAUUGGGAAAGGCCUUCAGAAAAUGAGCUGUGAAUACAGUCUUGAAGGAUGUCAUGGAAACCAGAGGCUGAGAUGAGGAGGAAGAAAGUUCUAGACAUGGGGGAGGGCCACUGACAAUUCAGGAGACAGGAGAUGGAAUGUUUUGUACAAAUUAAAGCAAGGAAGUCAGGAAGGUAAGGUAAGAUGUGAGAAACCUGCAAAGCUGGGAAUGGGUCAGUUAGCCUGGAAAGGGAUCUAUGAGCCAAAUAGGACUUUAUAUUUGAUCCUAGAAGUAAUUGGAAAUAAAGUGGAAUUUAUUGAGCAUGUAUGUAUGUAUCAGAGUUGGUAGAAUCAGUUUUAUAAUAAACUUAAAGACUAUAAGAAACACCAUGGGAUAUUUGAUUAUCAUGUAUUAAAGAACAAUAAGUACUUGCAAAAAAGACCACCAAGCAAAUAACUGCAAGAUCAUCUAUCAACAUCAGUGGCAGAGGAUGAAGAAGUAGAGAA